GAUGAACGCUGGCGGCGUGCCUAAUACAUGCAAGUCGAGCGAACAGAUGAGGAGCUUGCUCCUCUGACGUUAGCGGCGGACGGGUGAGUAACACGUGGAUAACCUACCUAUAAGACUGGGAUAACUUCGGGAAACCGGAGCUAAUACCGGAUAAUAUAUUGAACCGCAUGGUUCAAUAGUGAAAGACGGUUUUGCUGUCACGUAUAGAUGGAUCCGCGCCGCAUUAGCUAGUUGGUAAGGUAACGGCUUACCAAGGCAACGAUGCGUAGCCGACCUGAGAGGGUGGUCGGCCACACUGGAACUGAGACACGGUCCAGACUCCUACGGGAGGCAGCAGUAGGGAAUCGGCCGCAAUGGGCGAAAGCCUGACGGAGCAACGCCGCGUGAGUGAUGAAGGUCUUCGGAUCGUAAAACUCUGUUAUUAGGGAAGAACAAAUGUGUAAGUAACUAUGCACGUAUUGACGGUACCUAAUCAGAAAGCCACGGCUAACUACGUG
rnacentral:rRNA from 1 species